CUCCUCUCCCACUCGCCACCCCCUCUCCUCUUCCCCCCGCCUCGCCUCUUUCUCCCCCUCCAAACCCUAGGCUCGCGCCCGCCUCCCUUCCCCGCCGACGGCCGCCGCCGCCGCCGCUCGCCCGGGCACCCAUCCUCGAGCUCAGGCCGCUCAUCUAGAGAGAAGGAGAUGGGGGUUGCGGGCGACGAGGCUGACGCGCCGUCGUCCCCCGUCCGUCGUCCGCCGUUUGCUCGCUCGCCGCCAUCAGAAAGCGUGGUUGUGAGGGUUUGGUGCCAGGGUCAUUGCUGGGUCCGUGGCUGCUGUUCCUUCAUCAGAUUUGGCCAUCCUUCCUCCUGCAUCUCCGGCUAAGAUCUUGCCAAUCAAAAAAAUUGGACCACAAUUGAUGUACCUUAACGCACAAGGAGAGUCUCAUUGCCGCUGCUAGAGCACAUCAACCACCCUUUCGUCUUAGUUUUGAUUUGAAGACCACCACGAUCAUUUGAGAUCUGGAUUGUCUGUACAGAUUUUGUUGGUAGUUGGCAGGAGUAGAUCAUCGAUGCUUAUGGCUGCGGGGCUCAUGGAGCCAGAAGAGGCUGUCGGCGCCGGCGACCUUGUCGUCUUUGUCUUGUGCAAAGGUAUCAGAUGAGGGUAUUUGAAGAAGACACCAUGAAUUGGUAUUCGAAAAAGAUACCACCUUUCAUUACAUUGGUAUUCAAAAAAUAUACCACCUUAUGGCCUUUCCUGUUUCCUGUGACUUAAGACUUCCAACUCUUUAACUGGGAUAGUAUCAAAAGAAAAUGAUUUAUGUAAGUGGGACACAAUAAAGUAAUUUUGUACAACUAUAUUUUUGUGCACUAGAUAAAAUGUUACUUCUGUUUGAAAUAGCACACGAUUUCUCCCUGCUUGAAGUAUGGUUUGUGCUCUCUUCCUCCAUCCCGUGUAUGCGAUUGAUGUCCCCCUCUAAUUGUUUGGUGUUGGAGUCUCUCUGUAUAAUCAGUGCCUCUUUGCUUAAUCUGCUGACGUAUGCUAUUUACAGUUCCUUCCCCGGCUCCUAACUGAUCUUUAGAGUUAAUAUUUAUUAGUAUUUUGUGCUACAACAUAAUUAGUGCCCGGCAAACCCUGUUUACCCUCUUAUGUCACUAUUGUCCAUUGUCAUUCUUUUAUGCAUUAUAACUCAGCUUCAUAUAUCCGCUGCAACAUAAUAUUCUCCUUGGGUUGUUGAAUUGUUUUGCUCCAUACAUCCCAAAAAAACACAGCCUAUUUGCAUUACAUGGUUUUGCUACCUCUUAUGAAAUUGCAUUCACUGUGUUAUGCGGAAAAUUUACUUCGGCCACUCUUUUAAGUGUAUAUUUUCAAUUUCAAGUUUUUCUUUGUAUUACUCUUACGAAAACUCGCUGAGUUUUUUCCUGUGAGCCUGACACAUUGUUUAAUAACUGUUAUAGCUUCAUAAUUGUUAUACCCUUCUGAUCUUCUCCUUUUCUUAUGUCAGCUAACCAGUGAGGAUAUAUAUAAAAAGGAUACCACCAAUAGCAUAGCACCCUGCCGCUGUAAUUACAUGUAUGUAUAAAUCCUGUGCUAACUUUAGGUUCUUACCUUAUGGCCUUUCCUCUAAUCAUAUGAGGUACACAGAGAUGAAGUUGAUUUUAGUUUUGUAAAAUUUGAUGUAUUUAUCCAAUGAAAAUGCCCUACUGUUGCCAGCCUGCCAUUAUAUGUAGGUAUAAAAUCUACUCUGGGUUCUUCCAUUUAUGGCCUUUCCUCUAAUCAUAAGAGGUACAAAGGAGAUGCAUUUCAUGAAACUGGAAUAUUUCAGUUCUCUUGCUGGUGUCCGUGCUUUUUUUUAAUCUCACAUGGCUUACUUGCUAUCUAAGUGUUUUCAUUAAACUUUCUCUAUAGCAAGCUUGCUGAAGUUGUAACCGAACAAAAGCAAGGCUCUCUUGACACACUAUCUUUACACACAAAGAGAAGCCAGACUCCCAACCUACCAUGCCCCCUGUAAUUACAACCGAACAGAAGCAAGGCUCACCCACCUAUCAUGACUCAUUAUAUAGUUCAUUUGUUUGAAUACGAAUCCGGAAUUUGUAAACCACUGUGAUAGCUAGAGCAUAGUCAAGGCGUUGGUGUGUCACUAUGUGUAUUGAUAAAUGAAGAAAAAUAAAAAAGACAGAGGUGAGAAGUUGGGCAUGUUGUGCUGCAACCAGCUGCUUAAUUCAUUUAUGAUCCAUCAUGGUUUGUCAUUUUUCGUUGCAGGUACCUGUUUCAUAUAAUUAUAGUUGCAACUAAUAAGGUCAUCGAUUUUAACGAGGUCCAUAAGAUAAUAAUGUCUCCAUUGAGAUGUGCAAUGAAAUAUCGAAGGACCCUAUCCUUUUGUUUGUGGAUGCACGAAGUAAUGAUGUCUGGCUAUGGGAGUGUCUCUUCGGAUGUUCUAACGCAGUUUCCUGUGUCUCUGCUAGCUCCGAUUCUAUUGCGCCCUAUUGUCCGGCAUAUGUUUAUUUAUGUGUUUGACCCACGUGUUUAGUUAAUGUUGUUAUGCUAUCGAAGGACAAGCAGAUGUUGCAGACUGUAUGUGACCCUAUGUACCCUCUUCAGCCUGGACAGUGCUGAGGAUGAAUACAAACUUAUAUGUAAUCGGGUGGUGCUUGCUUUACUUAAGACGCCCGCUGUUCUAUUUCUGAUUUCUUGCUUGGUCCUGUAGAUAUCUACCAUAUUGUAGUUAAAGUUUCUGAUGUACACAUGUUUCAGCCAUAAACAUGGAAGCAAUUUGUACCUAUAAAGGAUAUUAUCAUUUGUGAUAUCAGGUUUCUACUAC